rnacentral:rRNA from 1 species
UCGUAACAAGGUCUCCGUUGGUGAACCAGCGGAGGGAUCAUUACCGAGUUUUCAACUCCCUAACCCUUAUGUGAACCUACCUAUUGUUGCUUCGGCGGACUCGCCCCAGCCGGACGCGGACUGGACCAGCGGCCGCCGGGGACCCUCAAACUCUUGUAUUAUCAGCAUCUUCUGAAUCCGCCGCAAGGCAAAACAAAUAAAUCAAAACUUUCAACAACGGAUCUCUUGGCUCUGGCAUCGAUGAAGAACGCAGCGAAACGCGAUAAGUAAUGUGAAUUGCAGAAUCCAGUGAAUCAUCGAAUCUUUGAACGCACAUUGCGCCCGCCAGCAUUCUGGCGGGCAUGCCUGUUCGAGCGUCAUUUCAACCCUCGACCUCCCUUUGGGGAAGUCGGCGUUGGGGACCGGCAGCACACCGCCGGCCCUGAAAUGGAGUGGCGGCCCGUCCGCGGCGACCUCUGCGUAGUAAUCCAACUCGCACCGGAACCCCGACGUGGCCACGCCGUAAAACACCCAACUUCUGAACGUUGACCUCGAAUCAGGUAGGACUACCCGCUGAACUUAAGCAUAUCAUAGU